UACGAAGGUCCCAAGCGUUGUUCGGAAUCACUGGGCGUAAAGGGAGCGUAGGCUGUGAGGUAAGUCGGGUGUGAAAUCCCGGGGCUCAACCCCGGAACUGCGCUCGAUACUGCUUUACUAGAGGACUGGAGAGGAGAUUGGAAUUCUCGGUGUAGCAGUGAAAUGCGUAGAUAGUCGAGAGGAACACCUGUGGCGAAAGCGAAUCUCUGGACGAGUUCCUGACGCUGGAGGC
rnacentral:rRNA from 1 species